rnacentral:lncRNA from 1 species
AUUUCGAUAUCACCGGAAAAGACCAUUACCAAUCUAUAUUUGACAGUGAGUUCUCACUAUAUUUUGAUAUUUCUUAAAGAAAACUAACAUAAAAAGGAAAUAUCCGAAGGGAAUAUUUCACAAUUACAUUAGUAUAAAAACAAUAAGAUAUGGUAUGAUUUGAAAUACAAGAACUAUUCAAUGACGACGUUUAUAUUUUAUGUCACCAAAUGACACCCAAUAAUGAGCAGC